CUGCAAGUCGAACGAUGAACCGGUUUCGGCCGGGGAUUAGUGGCGAACGGGUGAGUAACACGUGGGCAAUCUGCCCUGCACUCUGGGACAAGCCCUGGAAACGGGGUCUAAUACCGGAUAUGACUACCGACCGCAUGGUCUGGUGGUGGAAAGCUCCGGCGGUGCAGGAUGAGCCCGCGGCCUAUCAGCUUGUUGGUGGGGUGAUGGCCUACCAAGGCGACGACGGGUAGCCGGCCUGAGAGGGCGACCGGCCACACUGGGACUGAGACACGGCCCAGACUCCUACGGGAGGCAGCAGUGGGGAAUAUUGCACAAUGGGCGCAAGCCUGAUGCAGCGACGCCGCGUGAGGGAUGACGGCCUUCGGGUUGUAAACCUCUUUCAGCAGGGAAGAAGCGCAAGUGACGGUACCUGCAGAAGAAGCGCCGGCUAACUACGUGCCAGCAGCG
rnacentral:rRNA from 1 species